rnacentral:misc_RNA from 1 species
GAUGAAGAACGUAGCGAAAUGCGAUAAGUAAUGUGAAUUGCAGAAUUCAGUGAAUCAUCGAAUCUUUGAACGCACCUUGCGCUGCUUGGUAUUCCGAGGAGCAUGCCUGUUUGAGUGUCAUGAAAUUCUCAACCUUUUCAGCUUUCUUUGUUGAUCAGGCUUGGAUGUGGGAGUAUGCGGGCUUCUCAGAAGUCGGCUCUCCUGAAAUGCAUUAGCGGGACCUUUGUUGCCUGGCUUUGGUGUGAUAAUUAUCUACGCCAUUGUAGUCAAGGAGCUUAAAAUGAGGUUUCAGCUUCUAACCGUCUCCCCUGAGACAACUUUUUGACAAUUUGACCUCAAAUCAGGUAGGACUACCCGCUGAACUUAAGCAUAUCAAUAAGCGGAGGA